UCGUGGAUAUUGAUUAUUUUUGUAAAACAAUUAUUGAUCUGAAACAAAUUUAGUAUAUACGGGUUUCUAUUGUAUUUUGAUAACUUGCUUCAUUAAUAUACAAUUGUUGACGAUUUGUAAUAAUUAAUUUUACAAGAAUUUUAAUGCUUAAGGAAUACUCUCAUUAGAUUUGACGCAAACGUUGCGGCAACUUUUCCAGACAGGGAUAGUCGAAUGACUGUAAGAAAGAAAGCUUAACACCAAGAUCAAGGAUACUUUUUGAUUUCUUGGAAUAGUUUCUUCAAAUCAGAAGUAUACAUUUUGGACAAAUUUUUGUAAACUGGUAUUCAAAUAACUGUUAAUAAACAUGCAAAACACCGCUAUCAAGACAACCAACUGCACAUUUAGUCUUCCUAUUAUAACGGCGAUCUUGAAUGUAGUUCAGAUUUGACGCAAACGUUGCGGCAACUUUUCCAGACAGGGAUAGUCGAAUGACUGUAAGAAAGAAAGCUUAACACCAAGAUCAAGG